CAAAAGAGGAGAAGAUAAAAACAAAAGCCGUGAAAAUAUCGUGACAAAAUUGAGGUGCAGCAGUAAAUGCAAUCCUAUAGAGCAGGACCCGUCAACAAGAAGCAUGCAGAAUUUGCCUCCAGACAGAUGGAGAAGGACAAAUAUUCCACUCCGAAACCAUGGUUUGUAAGACGGAUGGCCUCGUUUAAGGAAAACAUACCAAAUCAGUGUGCCUCGGAUGGCUUAAGCUGGCUUCUGUUUCUGCCCAAAUCGUAUUCCUGCUCAAAUUCAAUCGAAGUCGGAAUUUUCAUUCGGAUAAAACGAUUUCAGUGGGAUUGGAUGAGCCUUGCACUGUAGCAACAAAAUUAGAGUAAGCAGGAAACAACAGGCGCCAGUUGAGCAUGAAUUCAAUUAGAUUUUGGAGAAAUAUAAGGACAAAUUUACGCAGCAACAAUCAGAUGGCUGAAUUAUUCCAAUGCUACCAUAUUUGAUUUCACAUUACUUUUGUGGCACUUCAUUGUUCCGAUAGCCACCUAGAACUACAUCUUCUUAUUCCGAGAUCUGGAUCUGCGACUCCAAUGAAAAUCAACAAAGGGAAGAUGCGAAGCAACUUCGUUUAAAUAAGCAGGAACAGAGUUCACAAGCCAGAUGAACUGAAUAUUGAUGCUACUGCCACCACCACCAUUGAGCGCUCUGACUGAACCUAGUAAGACUCUAAAAUUGGAGUAGAGAACACUGGAAACGAAUUCCGAUAAAACGUCCGAAAACGGCACAAGAUUUUGUUGAUGCCACUCUCUGGGCUGAGUUGUUUUAUGUAUGGUUAGUAAUUCUCAGACCCUUUAUUCCAGCCCUUUUUCAGAGCAGCGCAAGUCACCAAAAGAAAAAUCAGCAACAUUCUCUCAGGCCUUUCAAAUGCUGAUUGAUUUUUGUAAGCAAAACCCUUUGGAGGUGAGAGGAAGGAGAGUGCCUGAAUGGAGGAAGAACUGUUAAUUAUCACGUAAUUAAUGUUACCUCACAAGAAAACACAAGCCGCGUUUUAUACAUAUGUUUAAAGUUGGUGCAAAAAAAAAACAAUAAUGGAACAACAUGAGCCAUCUAGCGUUAGUGCAAGGCCUAGCUAUAUUUGUUUAAUUCCCGCUAAUUGUAGAGAAAUGAGACCAGCGGCUUACAAGUGUUGUUUGGGUGCAAUAUUUAUGAUGGAAGGUGUAAUUGCAAUCUGGGCAACAUGUUCACAAUCCACUUUGUUGCAAUCAAUUCCAUGGAAUGUUU